rnacentral:rRNA from 1 species
GGUUGAUCCUGCCAAUAGUCAUAUGCUUGUCUCAAAGAUUAAGCCAUGUAUGAGUAAGUAUGAACUAAUUCAGACUGUGAAACUGUGAAUGGCUCAUUAAAUUAGUUAUAGUUUGUUUGAUGGUAUCUACUACUCGGAUAACUGUAAUAAUUCUAGAGCUAAUACGUGCAAUAACCUCGACUUCUGAAAGGGAUGCAUUUAUUAGAUAAAAGGUCGAUGCGGGCUAUGCCUAUUGCUCUGAUGAUUCAUGAUAACUCGAUGGAUCGCACGACCUUUGUGCCGGUGAUGUAUCAUUCAAAUUUUGCCCUAUCAACUUUCGAUGGUAAGAUAGUGGCCUACUAUGGUGGUGACAGGUGACGGAGAAUUAGGGUUUGAUUUCGGAGAGGGAGCUUGAGAAAUGGCUACCACAUCUAAGGAAGGUAGCAGGCGCACAAAUUACCCAAUCCUGACAUAGGGAAGUAGUGACAAUAAAUAACAAUACCGAGCUCUAUGAGUCUAGUAAUUGUAAUGAGUACAAUCUAAAUCCCUUAACGAGGAUCCAUUAGAGGGCAAGUCUGGUGUCAGUAGCCACAGUAAUUUUAGCUCUAAUAGCAUAUAUUUAAGUUGUUGCAGUUAAAAAGCUCGUAGUUGGAACUAAGGUUCAGUCAUCCGGUCCGCCCACGGUGAGCAUCGGUCUACUUGUCCCUACUACCGGUGAUGCACUCCUAGACUUAAUUGCCCAGGUCGUUCCUCCGACGCUGUUACUUUGAACAAAUUAGAGUGCUCAAAGCAGGCCUACGCUUGUAUACAUUAGCAUGGGAUAACAUCAUAGGAUUUAAAUCCUAUUGUGUUGGCCUUCGAGAUCGAAGUAAUGAUUAACAGGGACAGUGGGGGGCAUUUAUAUUUCAUAGUCAGAGAUGAAAUUCUUGGAUUUAUAAAAAAGGAACAACUGUGGAAGCAUUUGCCAAGGAUGUUUUCAAUAAUCAAGAAUGAAAGUUGGGGGCUUAAAGAUGAUCAGAUAUCAUCCUAGUCUCAACCAUAAAUGAUGCCGACCAGGGAUCGGUGGAUGUUACUUUUAGGACUCCGUCGGCACCUUAUGAGAAAUCAAAGUCUUUGGGUUCUGGGGGGAGUAUGGUCACAAGGCUGAAACUUAAAGGAAUUGACGGAAGGGCACCACCAGGAGUAGAGCCUGAGGCUUAAUUUGACUUAACACGAGAAAACUUACCAGGUCUAGACAUAGUAAGGAUUGACAGACUAAGAGCUCUUUCUUGAUUCUAUGGGUGGUGGUGCAUGGCCAUUUUUAGUUGGUGGAGUGAUUUGUUUGGUUAAUUCCAUUAAUGAAUAAGACCUCAGCCUGUUAACUAGCUACGCUGAGGUGAUCCUUCUUGGCUAGCUUCUUAGAGGGAUUAUGGACGCUUAGGCCAAGGAAGUUUGAGGUAAUAACAAGUCUGUGAUGCCCUUAGAUGUUCUGGGCCGUACACGCGACACACUGAUGUAUUCAACUAGUCUAUAGCCUUGGUCGACAGGCUCGGGUAAUCUUUGAAAUUUCAUCAUGAUGGGGAUAGAUCAUUGCAAUUAUUGGUCUUCAACGAGGAAUUCCUAGUAAGUGCGAGUCAUCAGCUCAUGUUGACUACGUCCCUACCCUUUGUACACACCGCCCGUCAUUCCUACUGAUUGAUUGGUCCGGUGAAGUGUUCAGAUCAUGACAACGUGGAUAGUUCGUCAUCCACGAUAUCACGAGAAGUCCACUGAACCUUAUCUCGACUCUCGA